rnacentral:rRNA from 1 species
UACGUAGGGUGCGAGCGUUAAUCGGAAUUACUGGGCGUAAAGCGUGCGCAGGCGGUUAUGUAAGACAGUUGUGAAAUCCCCGGGCUCAACCUGGGAAUUGCAUCUGUGACUGCAUAGCUAGAGUACGGUAGAGGGGGAUGGAAUUCCGCGUGUAGCAGUGAAAUGCGUAGAUAUGCGGAGGAACACCGAUGGCGAAGGCAAUCCCCUGGACCUGUACUGACGCUCAUGCACGAAAGCGUGGGGAGCAAACAGU